CCCUUAGAUGUUCUGGGCUGCACGCGCGUUACACUGAUGCACUCAACGAGUUUACGACCUUGCCCGAUAGGGUUGGGUAAUCUUUUUAAAAUGCAUCGUGAUGGGGAUAGAUUAUUGCAAUUAUUAAUCUUCAACGAGGAAUUCCUAGUAAGCGCGAGUCAUCAGCUCGUGCUGAUUACGUCCCUGCCCUUUGUACACACCGCCCGUCGCUCCUACCGAUUGAGUGCUCAGGUGAAUAAUUCGGACUGCAGCAAUGUUUGGAUCCCGAACGUUGCAGCGGAAAGUUUAGUGAACCUUAUCACUUAGAGGAAGGAGAAGUCGUAACA
rnacentral:rRNA from 1 species